AUUCCCGGUUCUCGGCGGGGGAAAUUCCCCCUUUUGAAGCCGUUCCUUUGCGCCCUAAAACAAGUAGCCCCAACGUGAGAGAAACAAAAGUGUCUGGAGUCUAACUGGGAAGACUCUUGUGGCUGAGAGUGAUUUGAACUGCUGGAAACUGGAAUCAUCUGGAGGUUUCUUCAUUCACAGAUCUAGUACCUAGGCUGGUGUAGCCAAAAUUCGGCCUCUAUACCCUGGUACUGAGUUGAACCUUACAGACAAAAUGUUGGGUCCUCCUACUACAAUGCCAUCACUGAUGUAGCAGACAGCUCGUGUGACUGCAUUACUCAGUAUAACUAACUAGUUGUAGGAAAACCUCAGUGGAAGACUUGCCAGACCUCCAAACAGGAAUGGUGAUACCUGUGGUUGGGCUUCAGGAUCCAGAGUUAUGAGAGGUCGUUCCACCCAAGAGAGCUACAAAGAGUCGAAGUUGAUUUCCAAGCCAGAUCCUUGGAGACAGCCCAAAGUUAAGCCAGGGAAACCAAGUUCAAAUGGUGGAAAUGGUAUAAAGAAGGGUUUUGGAACAGACUAGGAGCAAGAGUGGACGACAAGUGAGAUUUGAGGGACAGGAGGAAAGCAGCAGGCAUUUUGUAGUUCAUAAACAUUGUUGGUGAUUUGCUAAUUAACCACCUUGGAAGUGAAGUAGCAGUUGAAACUACAACUUCUCCACCUUCACCUGGAUCCUCUUUCAACUUCUCCAACUCCUGGGCCAGAUGCACGUAUUUUGCUCUGUGACAAAGGCUCUGGCUCCGGCAGGAUGCCUGCAUCUGCAAGACUGGAAGCAGUGAAAACUGACAUGGGUUCCAUUCCAUCCUUGUGGGAUGCUAGCUCUUGCUUGUGGGCCGAGUCAGCUCCUGAUCUCAACUUACCUCCAUAUUCGCUUUCACACUGCCUGCCUGCAUUUCUGUAAAAUAGAUUCCCUAGAAGUAGAAUUGCUAAAUCAAACUUCAGCCUAUUAACGUUUAGACAUAGUGACAAAUUGCCCUUCAAAAGACUCUACCAAUUGUAUUCUUACAAAUGGUGUAUCAGGGUGCUCAUUUUCCAGAAAACCAAACUGGAUUAUUAUGAAUCAUUUUAAUUGUUGUCAAUUUGAUUGAUUAAAAAUAAUAACUGUCUGUUGUUUAAAGCUGCAGCUCUGCUGAUCAAUGAGGCUGAGCUUCUUUUCAUAUGAUAUUGGGUAUUAUCUUUCUUCUGUAAAUUCCUGUCUUUUUUUUUUCUGUUG